rnacentral:misc_RNA from 1 species
AUUCCUUUAGUCCACAAAGGCAUCACGCGGCAUCACGUCAACCAUUUGGAGAUCGUCUGUUUAUUCGGAGAAAGUAGUCGUUAUACACUUAUACAGCAUUGUGUUCAAUUUUUCUUUUACAUGUUUUUGUGAAAACAACUCCUAAAAUGACGCGUUGAAACUCUUCUUUUCGAAAAUAACAAACAAACAAAACAAGUAGUUGCAUCAUAGGUAUGUUGGGUCGUUGCCACUUAUGUCUCGCACUCUCAAUAAGGUGGUUGGUUUUGAGUACCUGCGGACUUUAAUAAUUCAUGGGCAUUCUUUUUUAUAGUCCACACACUGACACGGUGCGCGGUACCUCAUGGUACCCACAAAGUUUGAGAAUUUUUUUUUUUUAUAUUGUAAACUUGUUGAAUUAAUGAGUCAUUCAACAUGAAUGGAUGGAGACGGACGUUUAAGGAAGUCGACCUCGCUUUCGUUAUAGUCGGUGAAAUAAAUAAGCGAAAGUCGUGAGCUGGUGUGUUGCGGGAAAACAGAUUCAAUUAUUUCGUGCGUACAAUAUUUUAAACUCAAAGUCGAUAGUCAUACUGGUGUUACGAAAUCACAAUUAUCCGCAAAUUUUGCUCGAAUUGAAGAAGGAUCAAGUGGUCUCCAGCCUACCGGGAAAUGCUGUUAGGUUGUUGAGUUAACUCUUUCACCAUGGGCCUUUUAUUUGUUCUUUUCAUUGCAGAACUUAGAUUGAAGCCUACUAGACGGCAUAACUAACAUUCUUUACAGUACAAAAGCACGUCGAGGAACCAGGAUGUUCUUCUGUUAUGUCAAUUCUGUCUAGAACCCUGGACGGCCACUGUUGAAAAACUGAAAUUAGAUUCACGUAAGAUCUUGAAGCUGAUUAUGUGCUGCUUUGCGGCCGCCAAUGCAACGGACAAUAAAGAGCGCCCAUCAAAAUUAAUUCAUGGCUAAUUCUCUCGAUGCUCACAGAUUCAAAAAUGUGGAGGGAACACGAAUCCUUUUGCGGAGGCGAGCAUCAGUCACCCAUCAACAUUGACUCGUCAAAAGCCGGUGUAACAAAUUAUCCCAAAUUCUGUUUCCACAACUACGAUCUGGUUUUCCCCGAAAGAUUGGAGAAAAACGGGCACACCGUGGAAUUGAAAAUUGAGGAACAAGGUCUGCACGCGGAAUUGCCUUUUAUUACCGGCGGUGGACUCACCGACCGUUACAAUUUUGUGCAACUCCACUUUCAUUGGGGUAGACAAUUAUUUGGCAGCGAGCAUACUAUCGAUAGGAAAGAAUAUGCUGGCGAACUGCACAUCGUCCACUACAACACCAAAUACGGAAAUUUUAUCGACGCUAUCCCUCAAGAAGACGGAUUGGCUGCCUUGGGAAUUCUUAUAAAAUUGACAGAUAGAGACAACCUUGCGUUCCGACAUCUCGAACAAUUCGAAAAUAUCAUCGAUCCUAGCCCAGUCAACAGCGACGUCCUGCACUUCUCUGUUCCACUAGUGGCUCUUCUUCCGCACGAUACCGACAGUUUCUACCGAUACAACGGAUCGUUGACGAGUGGCGACUGCAACGAAGACGUCAUCUGGACGGUUUUUGAUACUCCCAUCGCCAUUUCAGAACGCCAGAAAAGGAAACACAAAAAAAAAGGGUUGAAACAAAUUUGGAGCCCUUUUUUUUACCUUCCUAUGUGAAAUGGCACACGCACGAGAAAGGGUUCGACCGCCCUUUUAGGCAGCAGGCGCUAAUGGUUUUUUUCGAUCGAUAACCCGGCAGGUGAUCUCCAGUCAUGGUCAGCCUCCCAGGAAAUAAAUCCGCCUGGGUUUCCUCCUUUCACUAGCAGAUAGAAACA